rnacentral:rRNA from 1 species
UACGAAGGGGGCUAGCGUUGCUCGGAUUGACUGGGCGUAAAGGGCGCGUAGGCGGAUAGUACAGUCAGGCGUGAAAUUCCUGGGCUCAACCUGGGGGCUGCGUUUGAUACGUAUUGUCUGGAGUUCGGAAGAGGGUCGUGGAAUUCCCAGUGUAGAGGUGAAAAUUCGUAGAUAUUGGGAAGAACACCGGUGGCGAAGGCGGCGACCUGGUCCGAUACUGACGCUGAGGCGCGAAAGCGUGGGGAGCAAACAGG